rnacentral:lncRNA from 1 species
GUUCUCGAUUGCUAAUGAGGUUGAGCAUGUUUUCACAUGUUUAUUGGCCUUCUGGAUUUCUUGUGAAAAAUGUCCUCAAAUUUUUCAGUUAUAUUAUCUCUUUUUUUUUUUUGAGGAAGAUUAUACCCGAGCUAACUACUGCCAAUCCUCUUUUUGCUGAGGAAGCCUGGCCCUGAGCUAACGUCUGUGCCCAUCUUCCUCCACUUUAUACGUAGGACGCCUAUCACAGCAUGGCUUUCGCCAAGCAGUGCCUUGUCCACACCCGGGAUCCGAACCAGCAAACCCUGGGCCGCCUAGAAGCGGAAUGUGCGCACUUAGCCGCUGCACCGCUGCACAACCUCUGUCAUUUUCUUAUUGAUUUGUAGGAGAUCUUUACAUAUUUUGGAUAAGAACCAGUUGUUUGGUACAUGUGUUAUAAAUAUCUUCUCUCACUCUGUGGAUUGCCGUUUCACCUUUUUAAUGACAUCUUUUGAUAAAUAGAAGUUUUAAAUUUUAGUAGAGUUGAAUUUAUCAAUUUUUCCCUUUAUGGUUAAUGACUUACUUUUGUCUUAAGAAAACUUUCCCUACUCCAACUUUAUGCAGCGAGAUUCCUACAUUAAUUCUAAAGACUUUACAGUGUUGCCUUCACAUGCAGGCCUAUAAUGCACAUGCAAUUGAGUUUUACAUAUGGUGUGAGUAGGGACCCAAUCUCAUUUUUUUCCCAUAGGGGUGCCCAAUUCUCCCAACAUUCUUAUUAAAGCAGACACAAUCGAAUAAUAUCUUCAAAAAGGUGAGCAAAAAUAACUGUCAAGCUAAAAUCUAAACCCAGCUAAAGUGUCACUCAAGAGUGAUUGUGAAACAAGCACAUUUCAGAUGAAGACAAAGAGAGGUUUGCCACUGGUGAUGUGCACUGAGGAGUUUAGGGGCUAUAUUCGGGAAGGAAGGGAUUGAAUACAAAUGCAAGGUCUACCCGAAUCUCGGCUUGCUCCAGUAGGGGCCCCGUUUCCUUACUUUUUUUGAGGUUGUGACAAGUGUUCAAACAGAACCUGAUGGACAGGCCCCAAGUGGAGCCCGUGGUGGACCCCAGGGUUUGGUAUGAUCGACCCUCAGUGUUAUUUUUGUCCCUCGGCUGGGCUUAGGGUCACUGGCUUAGGCACAGAACCUCUGCUGAAGCAAGGUUUUGUUUACCUUCACAAAUUUAGGAAACCAGGGGGAACCUGCUUGUUCAUGUCCUCCUAAGUGGUGGGGAGAAGCUUUUACAAGAAAUAACUUUUUCAGCAAGUCCAGUGUAUUUUUUUAACCUCUCUCUUUUUUUUUCCCUGCAAUUGUGACAUGUCUACAUAAAAUUGGCCACAGGAAGGAAGUCCUGUUCACGAAGUUAUUUUCUGAACAUCCCCCUACACUCUAGAUUUCACAACAUGCAUACAUUUAGGUGGAGGGACCGAGACUUCGUGCCCUCAAUGGCAGCUGUAAUUUGGGAGUCAAACGCCAUCAGGGAGCAUUGAUAGCUUCUGUGUGAUCCCCUCGUAUAGACAAGAAAAGGUCAGAAUCGAAGGAGGAAUGAAAUAUUUACUUUAAAGAAAGAGACUUUCAGAACGGAGAGUCUGAACACUUCUGGAAAUAAGCCUGAAGUCAGAGGUCAACUCAGCGAGAUUCUACAACGGAGAAGUUGAGAGUUUAGAGAAGGACCAGGAAAAAAAUAGAAUGACCCAGCCACUGGGAGGUGCCAGUGACCCUGGACUGCUGUUCUUAAAAGGCCCCUCUCGCUUAGUCGUGGAGCCCAGGGCCAUAGCUUUGUGGCCCGAGGAACGUGCAGCCUACACUGGCCUCUGCAUGGCAACUCGCUACGACGUUUGCACUCGUUCAUCUAAAGCGAGGGAGGGCCACCCUCCUACGUCCUCUUCCGUCCUGCCUCUGUGAACUGCACAGAGUUUGCAUCAAGCCCUUCUAGACGUAAAGCCUAAUCGUGUAAGGCGUAGGCACGGUUGAAAUCAGCUGACUUCUUGUCCUCGGCUCCCUAUCAUCUUUCUUUCCCUUUCCUGUUGGAGGUGGUCAUCUCCAUGCGCCUCUGUGUUGAAGUAUGCAGAUUAUAAGCACCAUGUUCAGUGCCUGCUGGCACCGAUUGCUUCACACAUCUCAUUGAAUCUUUGCAACAGGUCUUUAAGCUGCUUAUUUCUAUCUGCGGUUGCAAAGGAGGACACAGGCUCAUGGCAGCCACAGGCACUUUUGGGGAAGGGCCUGUGCCAGUGUGAUAGAGGCAGGACAUGAGCGCAGGUCUGGAGCUCACUUGUCUCGGGGACCGCACCCCACGCUUCUGAGAGCACAGCUGGAGGGGACUCGCUGCCCUCCUGGUCAGCGUCUUUGGCCUGGGACAGACUCUGGCCACAGGAGGCCUACUCCCUCUGCAGUGUCGCUCUCGGGGGCCCGGCCCCCUCACCACUGCUUUAUUUAUUAAUGUGGCUUCAGAGUGUUAGGGCCCCAGACUGUCUAGUCCACACUCGUGCUUUAGACGAGGAAACAGAUGCACCCAAGAGGAAUAAAUGGACUAGAGGGAUGUAUCAGACAGCGUUGCUGCCCUGACUCAGCGGCUUAAAACAGCGAAGGCUGAUCGUUCCUCACGAUUCCGAGGGUGGACCGGCUGGCUCUUCAGUCGAUCUCCCCUGGCUCUUUAGUGCAGCGGUCCACCCAGCUGGGUGGCCUUUCAUCCUGGGUCCGCAACCCUGGUGAGAGGGCUCCAAGAGGGCCAAAGUAGGAGCUGCCUCACCUUGGAAGUUGCAAGUCACUCCUGCUCCAUUCUGUCCAGAGGCAAGGAGGAGUCAACCGACUCUGCUUCUUGAUGGGAGGAGCAGCAAAGCCACAUGACCAAGGUGGGAGAAUAUGGGCAGCGUGGUUCACGGGCGUGGGUGGUCGUUAUUGUAACAAUCUACCCGCAUGAUGUGGCCCACUCCUGCUGGAGGCAGAGCUUGGGCCCAGGACUCCUGAUUUUGUUCUUUUCUAUGACAGCAUGCUGUUCUGACAUCCCACGGGACUUUCUAGAAUCCCACAGAUUUUCCAGGAGUCUCCUUAAUUGACCAACAGGCUGCUGGCUCUGACGAGCAUCAGGGAGAGAGGUCGUGUGUCCACCCCUCCUCUCAUGACUGUGCUGAGCAGCGUCGAGUCCCUGAUGACCCCGGUGUGCAGCCACUGCCCAUACCCUUCCUCCAUAGUGUCCCAGGAUGGGGGGAUGCUAAGGCAGCUCUCCCUGAGGGGCUCAGGUGAUCCAGUAGGGUCAGGGAAGAAAAGAUUAGACCCCGUUUAUGUUUCCAUUUGCCUAAGAAAGAAAUGAACUUUGCUAAUGUUUCUAAGUGGAGAGACACCGGCGCCCUCCCUUGAGCCUGACGUCAGGUGUCCUGACUCCUGUAGGGACAGAGAAGACGUGGGGGAGGAGGGGACACUCCAUAACCCAGCCACACGGGCAGUGGCACAUUGAGACACGUGGCUCUGAAAAUGCAGUGGGCAAACCAUAAACUAUUUCCCAUCUGUGCGUCUAAAACUCUGGAAGCCACGUAUUCCGUAUGCUACACGGUAGCGUUGUAUCCUGUUUAAUCUGGACGGUGAGCAGCGUGAGAGCACGCACUGCCUUCUUCUUCUUUGUGUCCUGGGUCUGUCUAGGGCCCGGCUCGGAGCUCGUAGGAACUCAGAGUCUUUUAUGGCUGAGUCAAGUUCUGUCCUAACUGUUCACUGUGUGCUGAGCUCCUCGUGGGGGGCGCCCCAUGGAACCUGUUAUGAAAUAUUCCCAGAGGCACGGAGGGUGACUUCUGUAACCCUAGGACAGUUAUCCUUGGGUGCUUGGCUCUCUCCAGUCUUUAUCUUGUCUCGGGAGGCUGUUGGGUCAUUGACACAAGGUGGGGUCUUGGAUGAACCACUCCUGUCGUUAGGGGCUGGGACAGCCUUUUUCCAGAUUGUCCUGUUCCAGCAGCCUGAGGAGUGUCUUGCUGGACUCCCGCCAGGAGUUAGAAGCCUUCUCAACUGUCGGUGUGCUUCCUGUUUGCACAUUUGAUUUGGUGCCUAGUGUAUGUCGUCUUGCCGCCUUGUCAUAUUACCUCAUUUCCCUUUUAUAGUUGCUUGUCAUUCAAGGAAUGGAUUGGAGCAGAAGGCAUUUAAGGUCCUGUACUAGUGUCCUGUGGCUGCUGCAACAAAUGACCACAAACGUGGUGGCCUCAAACAACACAAAUUCGUUCUCUUACAGUCUGGAGGUCUGACCCAGGUCUCACUGGGCUAACGUCAAGGUGUCGGCAGGGCUGGUUCAUUUCUGGAAGGAGCGUCCGUUUCCUUGCCUUUUCCAGCUUCUGGGGGACAUCCGCAUUCCUUGGCUUGUGGCCCCUUCUUCCAUCUUGAAAGCCAGCAGCCCAGCAGCGUCCAAUCCCUCUCUGACUCUGCUCCUGCCCUCACAUCUCCUUCUCUGACUCUGACCCUCCCGCCUCCCUCUUACAAGGACCCUGCGAUGACAGUGGACUCGCCUGGAUUGUCCCGGCUGCUCUUCCCGCCUCAAGAGCCUGAGCUUAAUCACAUCUCUGUCUCUCUCUCCUUCUCCCCCUCCUUCUCUCUCUCUUCCUACGCUACUCCUUGGUUCUUUCCUUCGCGGGAUCAACACAGUUUGUAAUCCUGCGUGUACAGGUUUCAAGUCUGUCUCCCCCACUGUUUGAGAAGCUCGUCUCCUUGUUCACGGCUAUAUUCCCAGGAUCUAGAGAAAUGCCGGUAGAAUUAUGCUCGAGUUGAAAAUUUCCCUCUGACGCAUUCCCGUCCAUUUGCAGGCCAUGGGCCUGUCAAUCAGAGGGGAAGAGAUGCCCACACCACGUUCUAGCCCCGCGGCUUCCCGGCCAGCCUCGGGGUAGCAUGCUUAGGCAAGCGUCGUGGCCGCCUUGUGUGAUGUCAUGCUGUGGGCAGCACUGGGCCUGGUGGGCUUGGGGCAAGGGAAGUCACCCCUGCGUGAAGAUCCUGUUUGCAAGGGGACCUCAGCUCUGGUCUCAGAGGCUGGGCACCUUCUCUUCCGGCUGCUUCUCUUUUCUCGGUGAAACAGGAACAAGAUCGAGGGAGGCUGGAGGCUUGAGGAGAGUGAGAUAGCUGUCCAGGAGAGAGGAAAAGGACAGAGAGAUGGGGACAGUCACCGGGUAGCAAGAAGGGUUGCGGAGUGUCAAGGGAAGGCUGCAGAGUGUGGUCGGCCAGCAGGCUGCUGCCCUCCCUGCUGCCCCUGAGGCUGGGCUUGGUGUUGAGAAAGCAGAGGGCGGGCGGCACUGAGCCAGGCUCCGUGUUUGCCGAGCAGUGACACUGUGGGGACAGCUCCCCUUCCAUUUCUGCAGAGUGGGUGGGACCUCCUGCUGCAGAGUGGGAGUGGCCGGUGCAGAAGUGGGAGGGGAGCUCGAGUACAGCCAGACCUCCAGAACAUUCUCACCAGAACCCAGGCAGAGUUUUGUCACCAUCUCUUUCGUGCUUAUGGCGCAAGUGGCUACCGCUGCCCAACAGAUGGAGUUCAUGGACGUCCGGGUCCUGGAGAAACGUAUGUGCUGGCUGUGACAGGCAGUGGGAAAAAACCAGGCCCAAGAGCUUUGAAGACCAAGUUUCUGUCUGUGCUGUGGGCUGCUCCUGACAGGUAUGUUCUUGGUGCCCUUUAUGGACCGCAUCUGUGACUCAGGCAGCCCGAGGGACUCCCCCAGCUGCCUGCUGUGGCGGGUCCCGCUGAUGGGAAGUGGCACCCAGUAAUUCAGUUUCCUUUCACCUCAGUUUCUUCUGAAACCUGUUCCUCUGAUAUUUAAAGCUGGGUCAGGAAAGGCCCUUCCUCAGAAGUUCUGCUGCUCUCCUGAGGGCCUGGGCAUUGGCAGACAAAGCAUGGGCGUCCUUGAGCCAGAAGAUCCCCGGCUGGUGCUGAGGAAACUUGGGUGAUGCCCAGCAGGCAGGCCUAGGCUGCUCCUUGCUGGGUGGCACUCACCCAGGGACAAUAGCACUUAGUCAUUUUAGACUCUGUGCUGGGGAUGCUCUCACGUGGGAGAGCUCUUGUCUCUGCCACCGUCCCCUGGAUCCCUGAUGGAGGUUCUGGGCUCCAGAACUGGGACAAAGGGGUGACUUUGUUUUGGGGGCAGAUUUGCAGGUUGCGGAGUGGAGAGAGAGGGGAGCGGAGGGGAAGAGAUCUAGAGGCUGAAGAAAGAGGAAGAAACGUAACUCGGUGGUUCUUAACUGGGAGUGGCUGUGCCCACCAGCGGAGGGUGAUGUCUGGAGACAGAUCGAUCUAGUCGUCACAACAGGGGGAGGAGGUGCUACUGGCCUCUCAUGGGUAGGAUGCGGCUAAGCACCCCACAGUGCCCAGGACAGCCCACCAUAGGGAAUGGCCCGGCUGCAAAUGUCAGCAGAAGCCCUCACGUAAUUCAAAGGACUGGCUGAGGGUGGGGGGACAGGGAGCCCAGCCGACCAAGCUGGUCUCCAGCCAGGUUCUACAGGAAAAGUACUCAUUUGCCUGGGAACUUCUCCAGUGGAAAAAGCUCCAUUUUGUUUCCUCGGGCUGCACUAGUAUCGUGAUGUGGCCUCUGGGCCAGUUGUGAGAAUGGAAAAGUUUAUGUUCGGGCUCGGGGCUCCAAUUUUGAUCUUCUCCCUACGAAGCAUCCUUUUAGAUUUCCUCUCAUCCAAGCAGGAGAGGGCCUUGGUACCAAAGACUGUACGUCCCAGACCGCCUCCCUUUCGAUAACCGCUGUCUAACCUUUCCUCUGGUGGUGACAUAGUGGCUUGUGCAGCUUUAGGAGGUUCCAGGUACCUGGGCGCGGUGGGCGGCGCUAUUGACAAGGGCUCCCUGGGUGCUGGUAGCUGCUCGCGCCAGCCGGGCCUUGCUGUUUGCAUUCUUGCUAACUCAGCUCUCACUACUGAGGGUGGCAUCUUGCUGGCCAGAAACUGUCCUUUGAGGGCUCGACCCCACGCGGGCUGCUUUCCAGCUUUGCAUGGAGCUGGUGGGAGUGGAGCACAGAGGAACUGGGUGGCCCCUCUGCCUUGCCUGACUUCUGCCUGUCUAGGAGGAAUGUGAGGAUCUGGCCCUAAGUGGUGAGGAAGAGAAGCUGGAGCAGGAGCGAUCAGUGAGGGAGAGCGCGGUCUGGGCGUUCCAGGAAGCACGUGGACCAGGACUCAAUGGGUGUGGGCAUUUGUGGGGAAGAGCGAAGAAGCCCUGACAUCUUAGUGAGGCUGGAGUAGUCGAGUCAUGGCAAUAGCCCUCUCCUGCUGGGCUGGGUGACAGGGGGCAAUGCAGUUCACAGGGCACAAACAGUGAGGGGAAGGUGCUGGGCCCAGUCUUGGGGUGCACCAACUAUUUCUGAGGGCAGGUGGUUCUUUCCUAGGAGCUGACAUCUGAGCUAUGCACCAGGCACUGGCAUUUCCUUCUCCCUUCCACCCGUGUCAUCCUGUGAUGGGUCCAGGGAAGACCCUUCUCUCUUCAAGACUACCCUUGAUGUAAAUUUUAGCCAGGUGUCACCUGAAGCGGAAGGAUGAGGGUCGGUAUGAGCAUACACAGACGGCUGAGGCUACAAGUUCGAGAUGUCCACUGGGGCCGCAGUUUGGAAAAUUUAGAAGAAUCCUCUGGCAAAAUGAAACUGAACUCUUACUUCCCCACUGAUGGUCUCCCGGUGACGGCAUAGACACUCUUGUCCUUGGUGAUAGAUCUGGAUGCUUUGGGUGUCGGCUUUGUCAAGGUUUAAUUUAUGUACAAUAAAAUCCCCCAAUUUGAAGUGUACCAUUUAAUGAGUUUUGACAAAUGUGUACAGUCCUGCAGCCACCACGAUCAUGACAUAAACCAUUUCCAUCGUCCCAACAGUUCCCUCAUCUCUCUCUGGGUAAUCUCCUCCUUCCACCCCCAGCUCCCGGCAACCCCCGAGCUGCUUUCCAGCACUGUGGUUUGGCUUUUUUUUUUUAUGAAUUGUAUGUGCGUAGAAUCUUACAGCAUGUGGUCCUUUAUGUCUGGCUUUUGAAACUUAAUGGAGUGCUU